GCGCCCGUAGCUCAGUUGGAUAGAGCGUCGGUCUACGAAACCGAAGGCCACAGGUUCGAAUCCUGUCGGGCGCA
rnacentral:tRNA from 1 species